GACGAACGCUGGCGGCGUGCUUAACACAUGCAAGUCGAACGGUAAGGCCCUUCGGGGUACACGAGUGGCGAACGGGUGAGUAACACGUGGGUGAUCUGCCCUGCACUUCGGGAUAAGCCUGGGAAACUGGGUCUAAUACCGGAUAGGACCACUGCCUGCAUGGGUGGUGGUGGAAAGCUUUUGCGGUGUGGGAUGGGCCCGUGGCCUAUCAGCUUGUUGGUGGGGUGAUGGCCUACCAAGGCGACGACGGGUAGCCGGCCUGAGAGGGUGACCGGCAACACCGGGACUGAGAUACGGGCCAGACUCCUACGGGAGGCAGCAGUGGGGAAUAUUGCACAAUGGGCGCAAGCCUGAUGCAGCGACGCCGCGUGAGGGAUGACGGCCUUCGGGUUGUAAACCUCUUUCAGCACCGACGAAGCGCAAGUGACGGUAGGUGCAGAAGAAGGACCGGCCAACUACGUGCCAGCAGCCGCAGUAA
rnacentral:rRNA from 1 species